UAAACAUUCAUGUUAUUUAUUACUGCAAAUUAUGAAAAUUGUAAAUUUCAGACAAGAAAAAAAAAAUUAAAACAAAAAUUCAUGUACGUAGGUAGAAAGCGAAAUUCUAAUUUUGCAAUGAAAAAUUCAAUCAGUAUAAAAUUCUACUAGGACUUGAUAGUCGAAAAGAAAUUCUAAAAGGAAUUUCCGUUUUUUUCGUAAAAAGAGAAAAAGUUAAUUGUAAAAUUUUCAUAUUUUUAAAAAUAUCAUAACUUAAAGUAAAUCUUAAAAAGUAGAAUUUCUUUGAAGAAAUCAGGUGAUGUUUUUUAUAUAAAAAUAUGAAUCAAAUUCCUAGUAUUAAUUAAAAUUUUUAUUAAAGCAUGAAUCACUUUAAUAAUAUUUAUAAACAUAGUUAUUAAUUAAUAAAACUUUUCAUUAAUAUUAUAAAAAGUUUUAUCAAUUUCUAGCGGCAAAAGUGAAAAUAUUUUAUAUUAAUAAUAUUUAUGAAUUUGUUUGUAAUAAUAACAUUUUGUAUUAAUAUUACGAAAAUUUUGAUUAAUUUCCAACGGGAUGCGCAGAAACAGCUCAUUUCUUGAAUAAUUUGGUUUAGUUUUGCUAUGUCAUUGAACAGCGGUAAACGUAAGUGAAACGUAAAAGUGAUCUAAAUUUUUUUUUAAAUAAAAAUAUAAAAUUUUGUUUAAAAUUUAAGAAAUAUAUUUAAAAUUUGUGUUUAAUUUUGGGAGAUAAUAAGUUAAAAAUAACAUAUUCAAUAAAAAACCCGCAAAAAAACUUCUUUGGCCUUUCUAAAAAAUUUACAUACAUAUUUGUGUUAUAUUUUUUUUUGCUGUUUUAUGAUUUACUUCAAAUGUAAAAAACAAUUGUGGUUUAUCUAACAAGCUUAGAUGAUGUCUAAAAAAAAUCAUGAACGAGGAUCUUCUGACAAUUACAGAUGAAUGGAAGAUAAUUGCUUCCAGGAUUUUUAAGGGAGUUUUAAACGACGUAUAAAAAGGAAACAGCAAAAUAUGACUAAAUUUCUUAAUGAAGCAAACCCUCAAAAAACAUUUCAAUCGCUCAAAAAAAUCUGGGAAGGUUUUAAAAUUUUCAAUGAACUUCAUUUUGGUGUCUCAUAGCAAUAACAACUUUUCUCGAAAAAGAAUUUAGUCAUUCAAGAAAAUGCAAAGAAGCGCGUGCUUACACUUGUUGCGGUUUCACAAAAGGUUAAAGUGAUAAUUUUAUGGCAAAUUCAAUUGAUUUGGCUCAAGGAUUUUGAAAUAGAAAUUGGGAAUCCCUUCACAGUCAGUAAAAGGAUUUUAUUUCAGCAACUAAUGGCACUUUAAAAACUCCUUAUGUUUAGAUAUACAUAUGCCUUCAGAGAAUUUAAGACACAGUCAAGAAAUCGGGGAUAUGCUAAAAAUAACACAACUGAAAUUGUCAUUGGAAGCAUAGAAAUCUAGAGCUGGCACAUCAUUUUAUAGUUUAAAAAAGUGGACACGUUUGACAGGAGUAGAAAGUACAUUGUCACUUGCAAUAUUUACAGCGGUCGCCCCAUUAUUUUCAUUAAGACCGGAAAAGGACUAUUUAAUUCAGUUUUAUAAUAAAAGGACAAAAUUUGGGAAGAACAAAGAAGAAUGCUGAGAAUGAUAAUGUUUUUAGAUCUCAAUAGAUUUUGAUACAAUGACGAAGAAAAACUGCUCAUUAUAAAAUAUCUUCAACUCUGUAUUUGGGAAACUGUUAAAAUUAUUAAUGACAGGAAAUAUACUUGGAGAAUUGAAAGUAAAAAUAAUACAUAUUAUAAACAAUUUCUAAUUGUUUAAAUGCAAACAGUAAAAAUGCUGUGGUCUCUUCAUCUUUAUUUAUAUAUGACGUAUAACUGAAAGGAAUAUUAUAACUUGAACGAAUCUGGAACAAAAGUAAGGGCAAAAUACAUAAUAAAAGACUCUGAAUAUACCCUUUCAUUGAAAAAAUCAUUGAAUGUGCAACCUUUCAUAGAUUAAAUUGAUGACAACUAAAUAUCUUCCCAACAACUUGUUAGACAUUUUGAUAGGUCAAGUGAUAUGACUUUUAAUUUAUAUAAAUAUAUAA